rnacentral:lncRNA from 1 species
GAAGAGUAGCCAUCGUGUCAUUUCUUGCCGCGCAUUUGUAAUGGCCCUUGUGUGCAAUGUGCAAUGUGCAACGGCAACGGUAUUAUUUCCCGCUAUUCAACGAAUGUUUGUGAAAUUGCGAACCUUGUAUUAUAAGUCUUGUGAAAGCAGUGCUAUUAAUUGUAGUAAUAUAUAAUAAUAGUAAAAGAAUCUUCCACAGUAAUUGAAAUAAUAUUCUUUCGUUAAGAUGGACGAUACUGCAAAACAAGUAAGUAUAUUAUAUAGCCGUGCAUUACGAUAUUUUACUUAUGUUGUGUUUAACUUUUGUUUAUAUUCUGUAUUUAACUUUGAAGAAAGCUCAAGUUAACAUUAAGGAAAAAAUUUAUCCAUGCAUUUCAUGAAUUACAGACAGCAAACAGGUUAUGUUAGGUUAGAUUAGCAAUCUUCUUAUAUAUUGUAAAACAUAGAAAACUCGUAUAGGACCGCGGAGCACAGACAAUUGCAUAAUGUAAAUAAUCAUCAAUCAUAGAAUCCUUCAUUUGCUAUCUUCAGGAUUGUCAUCCUGAAGAUAGAAAUGAAGGAUUCUAAUUAGUUGAUUCUCUUAUGCAUUAUGCAAAAAUCUGUGCCCCGGCUCUUAGACCGCUUUGGUUCCUAUAUUACUACAAUAGGAUGUCUUUUUGAUGUUUUCUUGACGUCAAAAUGAUGUCAUUUUGACUGCGUUGUGUUCCUUGUGUAAUAAAAAGUUUUAUGUAAAACUAAAUAAAAUAUUCAUAUACACAAUGAAUCCUAAUAUUCUUUGCUAUAUAUAGAUAUAUUCUUAUGAUGAAAAAAAUAUAUUAGUGAAUCUUAUGUUUAAAAGAAAGAAAAGAAAACUGCAGGAACUUUCAGGAAAUGAAAUUUCUUUACGUAUAACCUUAUUGAGGUACCUUUUUCAAUUCAUCUACGAACUUAAAUACAUCUUUGUUUCCUGUCAUAUAAAGAGUCCGUGAGAUAGACAAGCAUUCGUCUACCAGGUAUAGAAACCUUCGCAUCCACCUUCUAUCUGUUUCAAUCAUUUCUUGGUUGGAAUCGUUACAAUUUCUAUUAUAAUAAUUAAGAUAAUUAUCCCGCUUCAAAUACAUUGUUUUCUUAUAAUGGGAACUCAAACUUAUCAUCAGCUAAAACGAACAUUGCAUCCAUAAAUUAAACUAAGAUUACAAAACUUUGGAAAAUAAAGAAUUGUUUUGAAAUUAGAAGCGAAUUACUCUUUAAUGUGUCAGUACUUUAACAUAUCUAUGCUAACUUGCUUGUGACCAAUUAUCUUAUCGUUAAUUUUAUGAAUUGUUAUUUAGUAGAAUUAAUAUACAUGACAUAUACAUGAAAAAUUACCGUUAACAAAUUUAUUCUGGGAUAUCUGUCAAAACUUAUGAGACAUUCUAAAGCAGAAUUAGAAAUUGUGGACCAGUUAUCUUUAUUCAGAAUGGCUCCACCGUCAUCGAGACAAAUAUAAAGACACUCUUCGUCAUUCGAGUUUGUUACAUUACUGCAAUAAAAUAAUAAAACAGUAUAUACACGACAAAAAUGGAAAUGUAGAAAAGGUAACAGCCAGGCCCGGAACAACACGAUCAGAUAUAAGAUCACAAUAUAUGCCAAGUCUUCUUGCAACGCUCUGAAAUAUGACUAUCAGCGGUACAAUGCGGUCUUUAUACUCCUGUCAUAAUUUAAGAAACAAAAAUAUUAACAUUUAUAAGAAAUAAUAAAUAUGAAGCUAUAGAUAUAGCAUAAGCUGAUCAUAAUGUAUUAUAUUAUAAACUAUAACUUACGAACUUAAUCAUAAAUAGGUAUUGUCGAAAGAGAUCUGAUUUCAAAGAAUGUACAACUGCGUCAAAGUUUGGUUUAUGCAAGAGUAUAUUGAAAAGAAUAUCUAUAAUCUGUCUUCCCUCGCUGUUGUUCCAUUGAUUUUCAUAGAUAUUAUUGUAUUUCCACCUCGAGAACUGUUCGCGACAUGCCGAGAAUAUUGGAUGCUUGGGAUUCUCAACUUUAAGGCGCUUUAUAACCUGUUGUGCGAUAUUAUCCAGAUCCAUAUCUAUAUGCGAGCAAGAGACAUUUUUCUCCGGAUGAAACCAUUGUAUGAUAAAAGUUAUCACCUCUUCCAAUAGCUGGUGUUUGGGAGGGCGAUUUAUAAAUUCCUGCCAUACGGUUUCUAGAUGAUGAUGCCUUAAAUAUGGUAGAAGGAUUCUUCCGUAAUAAAUAUUUGUCAGGAUCCCAUACAGCACAGAUGCUUGCACCAACAUUGCAGCAACGUUGCAACGUUGCAAAU